rnacentral:lncRNA from 1 species
AUUUCAUUGAAAUUUUAAGCUCUUCCUUCCUUCUCUCCUUUCAGAAGCUGGAAAGAUCAGAUGGAUCCUAAAACUAAGAUCUUGACGUGUACAGCUGAAAAUCUCUGCUUCAGAUCACUGGAAAUAUUCCCACUUAUUCCAGUGCUGGUGUGCAUUGCUGCUCCCAGGACAAUUUUUGUGUACUUGUGUAGAAAGGGAGUGUGAGAGCUAGAAGGAAAGCAAAAUUACUUCAGGAUCCCAUGUAUCCUCCCCUUCUGAGCCCCCUUUAUUUUUC